rnacentral:rRNA from 1 species
UACAGAGGGGGCAAGCGUUGUUCGGAAUUACUGGGCGUAAAGGGCGCGUAGGCGGCCUGUUAAGUCAGACGUGAAAUCCCCGGGCUCAACCUGGGAACUGCAUCCGAGACUGCAUUGCUAGAGUAUGGGAGAGGGAAGCGGAAUUUCUGGUGUAGCAGUGAAAUGCGUAGAUAUCAGAAGGAACAUCAGUGGCGAAGGCGGCUUCCUGGACCAAUACUGACGAUCAGGUGCGAAAGCGUGGGGAGCAAACAGG